rnacentral:rRNA from 1 species
UACGAAGGGGGCUAGCGUUGCUCGGAAUUACUGGGCGUAAAGCGCGCGCAGGCGGUCUUCCAAGUCAGUGGUGAAAGCCCGGAGCUCAACUUCGGAACUGCCAUUGAAACUGUUAGACUUGAGGACGAGAGAGGUGAGUGGAAUUCCCAGUGUAGAGGUGAAAUUCGUAGAUAUUGGGAAGAACACCGGUGGCGAAGGCGGCUCACUGGCUCGUAUCUGACGCUCAGGCGCGACAGCGUGGGGAUCAAACAGG